GGCUCAGGAUGAACGCUGGCGGCGUACCUAACGCAUGCAAGUCGGACGGUCGCUUUGGGCAACUGGAGCGAUAGUGGCAAACGGGUGAGUAACACGUGGGUAACCAACCUUCGAGUGGGGAAUAACGAUCCGAAAGGGUCGCUAAUACCGCAUGAGCUCCCUUUGGGGAGGAAAGCUGCGCAAGCGGCGCUGGGAGACGGGCCUGCGGCCCAUCAGGUAGUUGGGGAGGUAACGGCCCCCCAAGCCGAUGACGGGUAGCUGAUCUGAGAGGAUGACCAGCCACACUGGCACUGAGACACGGGCCAGACUCCUACGGGAGGCAGCAGCGAGGAAUAUUGCGCAAUGGGCGAAAGCCUGACGCAGUAACGCCGCGUGAGGGACGAAGGCCUUCGGGUCGUAAACCUCUUUUCGGAGGGACGAGUGAGGACGGUACCUCUGGAAUAAGUCUCGGCUAACUACGUGCCAGCAGCCGCGGUAAGACGUAGGAGGCGAGCGUUAUCCGGAUUCACUGGGCGUAAAGCGCGUGUAGGCGGCUCGGCAAGUCGGUUGUGAAAGCCCCUGGCUCAACUGGGGGAGGUCAACCGAGACGGUCGGGCUUGAGGGUCAGAGAGGAAGGUGGAAUUCCCGGUGUAGCGGUGGAAUGCGUAGAGAUCGGGAGGAACACCAGUGGCGAAGGCGGCCUUCUGGCUGACCCCUGACGCUGAGACGCGAAAGCGUGGGUAGCAAACGGGAUUAGAUACCCCGGUAGUCCACGCCCUAAACGAUGAGGGCUAGGUGUUGGUGGGAAACCCCAUCCGUGCCGAAGCAAACGCGUUAAGCCCUCCGCCUGGGGACUACAAGCGCAAGCUUAAAAC
rnacentral:rRNA from 1 species